GGACCGGAAGUGCCCCGUUGUCCCUGCGCCCCAGGGACGGGGCCCUGAGGACCCCCACGGCCCAGCCCCAACUCCGGAAAAGGUCCCGCCAGAUCCGAAGCCCAAAUGAUGGGCGAAAACCGUGGCCACCGAGAUCCGCGGCCUUCUGCACCCGAGUUCGGGUAACCUUGGAAAUCUGGCCCUCGCGGGCCACUUUCGCCCCUGCAGCCGGCCUUCUUCCCGGCCCUACACUCGCCCCGCCCCGAGCUCAGGAGGCCACUAGGUGUCAGGCACAUCCCGGGCCUUGGCCCGAGCUGCACCACCCGGAGCCCUGGGGGCAGAGGACCCUCCCAUUUUCCGCGAGUGGAGCUUAACCUCGUACGUCCCAUCCCCUCCACACACUAGGACACCGGCCAGACUCUGGAGAGGAGAAACCACCGCAGACACAACCCAGCCUGCAGCUGAGGGAGACCGCUCCCCCAGCCGCCGUGGCAGCACCAGGGUUUGGAGAGGCAGAUGGGUCAAAGAUCUGCUCCCUUAGAUCCACUUAGACCACUGGGCUUCCCCCCAGGUGGGCAAACAGGUACCCUGUUUCUUAGAGAGCAUAGCCUCAAGGGCAUGCAAGACACACAAGGGUGCUCGCUGCCCUGGGCACACCUUCUGGUGGGGCACACACGACCGGGCCACUCCCUCAGAGACCAAGCUUAAACUCUCCAAUUUCUGUUAGGAUAUUUUUCCAGCUGUACAGACAUUUCUAAGUAAGAGGCAGCUUCCUUAGCAUGCUAACAGACUGACAUUUGGGCUUGGAGGAGGAGGUCGGGCAGGGGCUGGGCAGACCGGCGACAGCAGCCUGGCUGGGAACCCAAUGAGUGCUGAGUGGCCGGGUUACAGUCCAGGGCAUCCCGCAGCUCCCAAAAGACAGGAGAGAGCCUCCUGCUGCAGCCUGCCAGGGCCUCCACUGCAGCACCCCCACCCCCACCCCCACAGUGUUCUCACGGGCUUGCUUAUAAUGGUGCUGAGACCUGCGGGGGCGGCUUUGGUGAUGUCUCUCAAAGGGCUCAUGGCUCCAGCAGUCCCAUAUUAAAGAGUAGGCGAUCCCACCAGACUGCAGUCAAGCACCAAGGGCCCCAGGGGCCCCCUGCUGCCAGAAUCCCCUCCCUCCCCCUUCCCUGCUGCUGAAACUCCUGGCUUGGAAGCAGAGAGAAGCAUCGGCUCCUCCAGCUAGAGGGAAGGGCAGGGAAGGAGCCCCACUUCCCGCCCGGGUGAGAUAAGAUGGGGUCCAGGGCUGAUGGAGUUGAAAGGCUGAACCUGUUUGCAGGUAGAAACCCCUCCCUUGCCUCACUCAUAAAGCUACUCUGGCCUUUAUGUUCCUCAAACUCACCAAGUUCACUCCCACUUCUCCUUGGAAUGUUCUUCCCCAGAUCUUCAUUUGGCUUUCAAAUCUCAUCUUCAACUCCUCAUCACCUCCUUCCCUGACAGUCCAGUAUAGAUAGUAGCUUGAGGUCAGGGGUUGGGGAGGAAAGGAGAUAGCCUGGAUAAGGUGUGCUGGUGACAGCACCUCUGGGAAACUGCACCUUGAGCUCACUCUGUUCAGGAGCCCUGCGGGCUGCUCAGCCACCCGGGGCUGUCCCUGGGAAGGCAGAGAGAGCAGGUACCAAGGCAGACAGCAGAAUGUCCACCUAAACAGAGACCUGGAGACUAGACUGCAGCUCUACCCAGCACCUGGCCAAAACUUCUUCCCUUGCUGCAGUUGCCAGAUUUAGAGAGGGAAAAAAAAGCAACAACAAAAAAACAGGAUGCCUAAAUUUGAAUUUAAUAGUUUUUUAGUAUAGGUAUGUUUCAAAUAGUACAUUCAAUAUUCUGAAAAUGUAUUGUUUACCUGAAAUUCCAGCUUACCUGGGUGUCCUGUGUUUUAUCUGACCAUGCUACCCUUGCUCCUGUGUGGGAAGGAAAGAAGAGGGACCCCUGGCAGUUCUGGCCCCUUCCAGCAUGUCCCCCCUCUGGCAAUGAGUCUCAGUCAGGUGGUCACCCAGCUGACCCUUAUUUAGCACUUGCCUCAGGCAGAGGCCUUAACCUCAGGCUGCAGAGGGUACAAAAGGCAUGGGAGAUGGGUCCCCCAUCCUAAGGUGUUGUGAGAUUCAGAGAGAAAAAGCAAGCAAACAUCAUUUAUUCAUUCUUUCUUUACAAAAGCUUUUCUUGUGUGUCAGGCCCAGGGCAAGGCCUUGGUCUGUAAUGAUGGACAGGCACAGCCUCACGAGUCUGGGCACCCAGACAAGAGACUCAGUGGAGAGCCUCUUAGCCCAUUCUGUCCAUGCCCUACAGUGGGAUCCGUUCUAGAACAGAGGAAACCAGGAUGCUGUGAGGCUGAGGGAAGGUUUCCUGGGGCAUGUGACAUAGAAGCAGGAGCUAAGCCAGCAAGGAGACCAGCAGGGGAAGGAGGCGAGUUCCUGGCAAAGGAGGGACAGCCAAAGGAGCAAGAGCAAGGUGAUGGAAGGCAGAGGUGGAGAGCAGGUGCUCUGCCCUCAGGGUUCAGGGCUUCUACAUGAGCGUUCUCUAGACCUGGGGGAGCAGGGGUGUCAGCACUGGGCUUCUGGAACCAACAUGCCUGGACCAAAGCCUACGCAGGCCCCUGGAGAGGCCAGAUCCUUGAAAGGCACGUACCGAGACCAGUAUUCCAGGGUGAGCUUAGCCUUCAGCCCUGGUGGUGUCAUCCAAGGGCCCCCUCCCUGAGAAACCUGCUCCAACUUCCUUGAAAAGAAAAGUAGUCUGGAUCUGAGAGUAUGUAGCUGCUUCUGAGGAGUUUAAAAGAGAACUGUAGUCGUGCAGGGAGGAAAACCUACCUCCCAGCUCUGGGGCCGUGCAGGUGGCCCCAAAAGCUGCAGCCACGGCAAGAGCAGCCAGAGCAUCCAGGCAGAGCAGCUGUGAGGCAGGGACAGUCACAGAGUUCCCAGGGCCACCAACAAAGGCUGCGAGUUGCCCGGGUCCUCCAGGAUGCAAGAGGAUGGACUGGGGCUGAGGGACAUCAGUGGCUGGGGGGUCGUCACCCGCCCUGGUUGACCUCAAGGCUGGUGCAGCCUGGGAAGCAAGACUUAGACAAGCAAGAGUGACCUGCCACAGCCCCGAUCACAUGGCCGGAUGGAGUGAGAAGCAGUGAGAAUCAGGAUGGUCCGGCCAACCAUGAGCUCUGCUGGACCCCGGAACGCCCAGGACGGGUAGCCCAGCCCCAAGCCCUUUGGUGGCCCUGUGCUGUUUACUGCCCUCCAUGCCAGGGGGGCAAGGCCGGCACCAGUCACCCCUGGACAGUGGGGUCCACCGCAGAGCCGGGUGCCAUCCAGACUCCUCCAUGGGAGGCUUCUCAGAAGCCCCUGGUGCCCUUCAUGCCUGCUGCCCAUCAGAGAAGGUCUGCUAACCUAGAAGGGGUCUCGUCUCAGAUUCUCUCCUCCCAUGAGGGUCCUGGGCCUCUACACACAUCUGUCAGCCCAUGCACCCCACCCUCAAGCAGGCAAUGUGGGGUGGCCUCCACCUGGGCCUUCGUGUGUGACAUCUGCAUAGAAGGCCUCCCGAGAGAUGCUUCCCAAAACAAACUACUGCAAGGUAACUAAAAACUCAGCACUGUCGCAACUGCUCCCGGUGAAUUUGUUUUCUGAAGGGCUGUCAGCGAAGGGCAGGCAGGUGGGGGUGGCAAGGCCAGCUGAGGGCAGGAAGCUGCCUGGUGGACCUGGGACUGAGCCUCCUGGGCUCUGGGCUCUCCAUGAAGACCGUAUUGGAAGCCCCCAGGAGGUGCCUCUUCCCAGGCCAGAGGGAGCCGGUGCCGGAUGCCCGAGACCCCUGGACCAUGACGCUCCCUCCCGCUCCCCUCCCCUCCCCUUCUCCUCUGCCCCCUGUGUUUGCAGGCUUGGUUUUGUCUCUUUCUGACCCCACCUCUCAUUCUCUCCCUUCCAUCUCCAUCUUCCUCCCUGGCCUGAGGUUCCCUGGGCCUCUGGGAAACAACCUCCAGCACUUCAGGGGUAGGUGAUCUCAUUAACUUUCCUGGCCCCUCUCUGGAAACUGUGAGUAAGGGGCACAGGGGCAGGGGCCAGCACUUCAGGACCAGAUGGGUGCCAAGUCAGAUGGUUGGGGAAGGGCACUGGUGCCCGGCACCCUCAGGUGGGAGAACACAGGCAGCACAGGGGGCCAGGCAGUGCCUGGAGAGCCCAGCUCAGCUGCCCCGGCCCAGGCACCCCCCUGCCAUGGCCUCUCACCCCACGCACACCCCUGCUGCAAGGCCGCCAGGACCGUUUGUUCUCAUUCGGGCUUUUGGCAAACCUGCUCGGUACGUGUGCAGCCAGGGCCGUGCCCAGCUCUGGCCAUGCACACAUGAGUGUGCCUGGUCUCUGCUGCGGGCAGGCCGGCGUGUGGGGGUCUGAGGGUGGGUGCUUGGGAAGAGAGUGGGCACAGGCCUGCCCUGAGGGACGGUGGGCACUGGCCAGGCAUUGGGGCAGGGAAGGGCAUUCCAGAGGGAGGAACAUGGCCUGGGGGUGGGCUUCCCCAGACUACUGGAUUUUCAGAGGGAAAAAUGGAAUCUGACUAGAGUUGCAAACACUCUUUAGUUUACCACCAAAAAAAAAAAAAAAAAAAAAAAAAAAUUAGAGAAAGAGAAAGAAGGAUUCUUGGAAUAAAAGAUUUUCUGACCAAAACAGACAGUGGCAUGCGCACACACUCACACACACACACACACACACACACACACACACACAGUUCUUGUUUUCCUCUCAUUACUGCUGACUGCUGAACACUUUAUCAGGGGCCAGAUCCGCAGCGAACUGGCCCUCGGGAAGCUCUGAUGGAGGAACCCGUGGAGAUAGGGCAAGAAGCGGGGAGCUGGUGGAAGCAGGGGCCACCCCGGCAGGAACUUUGGACCUCAUGCCCAGGAGCGUGGGUUUUCUCGCAAUGAGCAGCCAGGGCAGGGCUUGCGGUGAGGAAGCACUGAGCUCCAGCCCUGGGAGAGUGGGCUAGAGGGAGAGGACUGAGGGGGUUCAGAGGAGGGUCCAGGCGAGAAUGAGGGGGCAGUGGCCAUGGGCCUCAGGAGAGGGCAGGGACUCAGGGGUGUUGGGAAGAAGACUGGGGGAGCUGGACCUAAGGUAAAUGCGGGGCGAGAGGCAGGUAAGGGUCCCGUCCAUGCCCACGUGGGGGAGUAGCAGAGGGAACUGACUUCAGGGGCCAGACCAGGAGAAAUGCAUUUAAGAUCUGGGAUCAAACAACAUGAAGCAUGCGCCAACUCGAAAGAAUACGACACAAGGGGUUGAGCAUUGGGUUCCGGAGCGCAUGGCACGAGCUGACGACUGAUCGUGGAUCCUUUCAGUCGGGGGCUCUUGUCUGAAUUCACAGUUUGGCUCCACCUCUUGCCAGUCCUGUGACUUUGGCCAGGUUACUAACUGCUCUGUGCCUUAGUUUCCUCAUCCAUAAAAUGGGAAUCAAAUAGUAUCUAACUCACAGAGUUGCUAGGAGGUUCAAGUCAGUUAAAACAUGCACAGUGCUUAGAACCAUGCCUGGCCUGAUAGACGCUGCCUAAUACUUUGACGCGCUGCCGUGUGCCCAGCCCCCAGCCCAGCAGCCAGAGCUCAGGAGGGGCAGGUGAGGCUGGGGAGAUGCAGCCAGGAUGCGGAGCAAGGCCAUCAGUGAGCCUGGGCCCUGCGGGAGGACCUGGGCCCCGAGCCUGUCUUCUGGGCUCUUGGGCGGUAUUCUGGAUGCACUGUGGUCCUGUCACCUGCCACUCCCACACUCACCCGGGAAGGACCACCAGAGACUCAUAUGGAAAAAGUCAGUGAGGCAUGAAUAUGCAAAUCCCAUGGUUGUGUCCUGGAAGUUUCUCAGGAUGGGUGCCAGGUCCAGAAGCAGCCUGAGAAGCAGCAGGCACAGGCAGAGAAGAGAAGAGGGUCUCAUGGCCACAGGAGGGAGUCCAGACCCAAGGAGCUGCCCUCCCCCAGUCACCCACUCCUCCCAGCAAAGCAGCAGACCCCUCCAGGCGGAACAGCCAGCCUCCCCUGCCCUCAUCCCCAUUCCCACCCCACCACCCAAACCUACUUCUAGCAUGUCCCCCUCCCAGUGAUAGGGGUCAGCUCCCCACUGGGCUCCUCUCCCACCUCACCCCCAUCCAUUCGGCGCCCCCCCUCCCUGCUUCCUGGACACCCCAGCAUCUACCCACCACCCUCGGUCUCCGCGGCCCCUCCUGGAGUCUAGGCACUGCCAUCCUCCGGUCAGAAUAUCUUCCUGUUGCCCGUGCUUGUCUCCCAGCACACAGGCUGAUGAACUCCUACCGCCCCUGUCAGGGCCCAGCCUGAGUGACCCUCCCUGGCCAGGUUAGGGACCUCCCUGCAUGGCCCCUCGGGAGUUGCUUGUUUAAACAUCUGCCCCCAGGACUUGCGGGGCCAAGGGGGCACUGUAGAGGCUGGGCGGCUGCCGCUCACCCCAGCACACAGGGCCUGCACUUUGUGGGUCUUAGUAAAAGUGUGUGGAGGAACGAGUGAAUGAAAGAGAAGGAGGAGACAUUUUUAAUGAAGACCAGGCAAGAUUGGGCAAUAAGGGAAAGGACAAAUAUGAGUCAGCGAUUACUCAGAAGCUCCUGGCCAGGGAGAUGGAACCAUGGCGAAGCUGGACUGCAUCCUGGGCCUGGAAGGGAGAAAUGCACCUUUCCCUUCACCCCGCUUCCUAGAAGUUGGGGGCCUGCCAUCCCAAAGACAGGGUGCAAAAACCUCUCAUCAAAUGUAUACUUGAUAUGAAGCUGGAGGGAAGAGCUAAAAUGAGACAUGAAAGAGUUAAAAAAAAAAAAAAAAAAAAAAA